GGCACGGUGGCUGAGUGGUUAAAGCGAUUGACUAGAAAUCAAUUUCCUUCGGGAGCGUAGGUUCGAAUCCUGCCCGUGUCG
rfam:Oidiodendron maius Zn unplaced genomic scaffold scaffold_5, whole genome shotgun sequence.